GGCUUCGUGGUUAAAUGGUACGGACACUUGCCUCUCACCCAGGAGUGCCGGGUUCGAUUCCCGAUCGAGGAGCUUUUCCA